rnacentral:rRNA from 1 species
GAUGAACGCUAGCGGCAGGCUUAACACAUGCAAGUCGAGGGGCAGCGGGUUUGUAGCAAUACAGAUGCCGGCGACCGGCGCAAGGGUGCGUAACGCGUGAGCGACAUGCCCGUCUCAGGGGGAUAAUCCGGAGAAAUCCGGUCUAAUACCCCAUGGUCCCGUUGGGAUGCAUGUCCUGAUGGGUAAAGAUACGUCGGAGACGGAUUGGCUCGCGUGACAUUAGCUGGACGGCGGGGUAACGGCCCACCGUGGCUACGAUGUCUAGGGGAACUGAGAGGUUGGUCCCCCACACUGGAACUGAGACACGGUCCAGACUCCUACGGGAGGCAGCAGUGAGGAAUAUUGGACAAUGGGCGGAAGCCUGAUCCAGCCAUGCCGCGUGAAGGAUUACGGUCCUAUGGAUUUUAAACUUCUUUUGCACGGGAGCAAUAAGGGUCACGCGUGGCCCGAUGAGAGUACCGUGCGAAUAAGCAUCGGCUAACUCCGUGCCAGCAGCCGCGGUAAUACGGAGGAUGCGAGCGUUAUCCGGAUUCAUUGGGUUUAAAGGGUGCGUAGGCGGUGGCGUAAGUCAGCGGUGAAAUUCACGGGCUCAACCCGUGCCGUGCCGUUGAUACUGCGUUGCUGGAGUACUGUCGCCGUGGGAGGAAUGUGUGGUGUAGCGGUGAAAUGCAUAGAUAUCACACAGAACACCGAUUGCGAAGGCAUCUCACGAGGCAGGGACUGACGCUGAUGCACGAAAGUGCGGGGAUCAAACAGGAUUAGAUACCCUGGUAGUCCGCACAGUAAACGAUGAUGACUAGCUGUCGGCGAUAGACAGUCGGUGGCUAAGCGAAAGCGAUAAGUCAUCCACCUGGGGAGUACGACCGCAAGGUUGAAACUCAAAGGAAUUGACGGGGGCCCGCACAAGCGGAGGAACAUGUGGUUUAAUUCGAUGAUACGCGAGGAACCUUACCCGGGCUCGAACGGUGCAGGAAGCCUUCAGAGAUGGAGGCGCUCUUCGGAGCCUGUAUCGAGGUGCUGCAUGGUUGUCGUCAGCUCGUGCCGUGAGGUGUCGGCUUAAGUGCCAUAACGAGCGCAACCCUUGCUGACAGUUGCCAUCAGGUAAAGCUGGGGACUCUGUCGGGACUGCCACCGUAAGGUGUGAGGAAGGGGGGGAUGACGUCAAAUCAGCACGGCCCUUAUGUCCGGGGCGACACACGUGUUACAAUGGUGGGUACAGCGGGAAGCUACGCGGCGACGCGGUGCAAAUCUCGAAAACCCAUCCCAGUUCGGAUCGGAGUCUGCAACCCGACUCCGUGAAGUUGGAUUCGCUAGUAAUCGCGCAUCAGCCAUGGCGCGGUGAAUACGUUCCCGGGCCUUGUACACACCGCCCGUCAAGCCAUGGAAGCCGGGGGUGCCUGAAGUCCGUUACCGCAAGGAUCGGCCUAGGGCAAAACUGGUAACUGGGGCUA